rnacentral:rRNA from 1 species
UGCGUAGGUGGUUUUGUAAGUAACAUGUGAAAGUCCUGGGCUUAACCUGGGGAUUGCGUGUUAAACUGCAGAGCUAGAGUGUUGUAGAGGAUAGCGGAAUUUCCGGUGUAGCGGUGAAAUGCGUAGAUAUCGGAAGGAACAUCAGUGGCGAAGGCGGCUAUCUGGACAACAACUGACACUGAGGCACGAAAGCGUGGGGAGCAAACAGGAUUAGAUACCCUGGUAGUCCACGCCGUAAACGAUGAUAACUGGUUGUUGGAUGCGAGAGCAUUUAGUAACGAAGCAAACGCGUUAAGUUAUCCGCCUGGGGAGUACGGCCGCAAGGUUAAA